UAGACAAAAUAAGCAAUUUAAAGUUUUUAAUUGGAGUUAAUUAGGAAGUAGAAUUAUUAGAAAAAUUUAUUGGGUGAAAUUUUAAAUUUUUUGUUUUAAAAAAUAAUAAUGAGGCUCAGAAAUUUGAGUAUAAAAACUAGGAUUAGAUACCCUAUUAUUACAAGUGUAAUUAUUAAAGUUAGAUUAUUAAAAGUUAUGUUCUUGGAAAUUAUGAAUUUUGGCGGUAUUUUAGUCUUUUCAGAGGAACCUGUUCUUUAAUUGAUAUUCCACGAGUAAUUUAAUUUUUAUUAAAAUUUUCAUAUCGUUGUCUAUAAAAUAUUUUUAUAGAAAGGUAAUAUUAAUAAUUUUUAAGGAAAGUAAAUCAAAUCAAGAUGAAGUUUAUAUAAAAAUAGAAAUGGGUUACAUUAAAUGAAUUUAUAAUGAAUUUAAUUUUGAAAUAAUUAAUGAAGGUGGAUUUGAUUGUAAUUUUUAAUUUAUUUUAAAAAUGAUUUUAGCUCUAAAAUAUGUACAUAUUGCCCGUCGCUUUCACUUUAAAGUGAAAUAAGUCGUAACAAAGUAGGUGUACUGGAAAGUGCCCCUAGAAGA
rnacentral:rRNA from 1 species